rnacentral:lncRNA from 1 species
AAAGCGCGACGAGAGGCGGCCGAGGCGGCCGGUGGGCGCGGCGCCAGCCCCGGCGGCGCGUUCCUGGCAGCGGCCCCUCCCCGCCGCGCGCUCCGCCCCCAACUUCUCAUUCACACUUUCCCCCCACCCCCCUCCCUUCUAAGAAGGCUGAUUUCUGGCAGAGGCGGGGGCGCCGCUUCGGGAGAGCGGGCAGUUCUAGGAGGCCGACCUGGAGAGCCUCCCGGUUCCCCUUCCCCUUUUCCCGGACCCCGCGGGGACACCCCCUCGCCGCCACCCGGGCCUCCCCGAGGGCCCAACUGCGGGUCAGGCGGCCCGGGCCAGCCGAAAGGGAAGUGGGGCUACCCCACAGCCAGGCAGCGGGGCUGGGGUCAGACCCGGGAGCCGGAGGUUGGAGACGUGCGACAGUCACCUGCGGGCAGAUUCCAGAGGGGAGACCCAGGGCUGCAGGGGACGCCCCUUCGUGGCAGCUACCCAGCCUCGGCCCACUGCCAGGUUCUUUGCCAACCCUGACGCGAGUGUGGAGCCCCCCUCCCCUCCCCUAUGAAAACGCUUUCAUGCACUGGGGUCUGCAAACCUGGUUGGUCCGGUGUGGGUUGGGCCAGGUGCUCUCGGCCGGGCUGGAGAGCUCGAGGUGGAACGAUGGCCCCAACCUACGGCCCGCGUCCGCCAGAGGGCGCCCUGGGGUCUCCUAGGGGAGGGCAGUUUGGUGCUGCGCGGCCCAGGCCUUGGAAUAGGCACGCCAGGGAUCUGCGGGAAUGGCUGUCUCCGGAGCUGGAAAGGUGGCCGAGAAGGGGGCAUUCACACCCCAGGCUGGGGUCAGACCUGGGAAUAAAAUUCUAGCAGGAGAGAAUUUCCGGAAAGCAGUUUUCCGGGGUUCAGGCUACUGCCAGAUGGCCCACACCCCCUGGAAUGUGACCCCCUGCCUCUCUUGGGGUGGGGGAGGACUUGAUCACUGGCGGGGAGGGGGUAGAGGGGAGGAGAGGAAGUGAUUGAGGUGAAAGAUUGGUUUGCUGCUGGUCACGUUGGCACUGACGUAGAUAGUUUGGGCUUGGAGACCCGGGGCCAGCCUUAUGAAGGAUGGCAAGUUUUGUCAUCUUGUCCCCAAAUGGGCUGUGUGGUGCUGGGGACACCCGAGAGCUGCCUCAGUGGCAUUUAGAUUUUCACCUCUCGGGAUGCAGACGCUGUGGGCCUGGGGCCCUGCGCUCUUCCUAGAUACCAGGAUAAUGAGGUGCUGAAAGGGAAGGAAGAGACUGCCGCCAGGGACAGGGAGCUUGGGAUGCCAGAACCCAGAACUGGCCCUUUUGCCGGCCCUGGAAUUGAUAGGUGCGCACUGCCUUUGCCACUGUAUCCUCAGUCCGUGCCAUCACCUCUCCCCAGCAUGUGCUGGGGACUCAGUGAGAUUUGGACAAGACACACAGUUUCUCUGGGCUUCCGUUUUGCCACCUGUAAAACUGGAGCCAGAACCUUUUCCUUCCCUUUGGCAGGCGGAGGCGAGAGGAUCACUUGAGCAUGGACAUUCAAGACCAGCCUGGGCAGCAAAUGUUACGUGGCUGCAUGACCAUACACUUCUGGGUAGAGCCCAGUGGAAGACAAAGAAGACUCAAGGAAUAGCCCUUGAGGUAAUGGAUGAGAAAGUGCUUUGUAAAUUACAAUGCUCUGACACAAGUCAAGUUCAUUCAUCCAUUCCAUAAACCUCUGCCGAGAGCCUGCUUUUGCCAGGCACAGGGCGAAGUGCUGGAAGACAGAAGUGCUGGGUGAAUCCUGCAGGGGGAGAUGGCCAAGGCAAUCGGCAUGGAGCCCCCAGGUGAUGAGUGAGGUGGGAGGUGCGGGGCUCCCUGCCUGCUCAUCUCAGCAGGAGAUCCAACUGCUGUUCGGGCUCUAUCACCCAGUAGCUGUGUGACUUUAGGCAAUCUGCCUUACCAGCUGUGCCUCGGUUUCCUUAUUUGUAAAAUGGUUGGAGAGUAGUACCUACCUCACUGAGUUGUCUGGAGCUCCCACAUGCAAAAUGCUUAGAGUGGUGCCUUGCACAUAGGAAGUGCUCAAUGCAUAUUAACUGUCAUGAUUUUGAAAGCACUGGGGAGGCUUUGAGGAGAGGGAGGAGUGAGCUGAGCUGCUGCAGCUUGGGCUCAUAGGGUUGGCUAUGGAUGUAAGCUGCCUUGUUUUGGGGAACCGUACAUCUCCUAUGGAAGAUACAUUCCAAAAAGCUGCUUGUCUUGAAACAGGUCAGCCAGCCACCAAGCUUCUUUUUUUUUUUUUUGAGACGGAGUCCCACCUGUCACCCAGGCUGGAGUGCAGUGGUGCCAUCUCGGCUCACUGCAACCUCCGCCUCCCAGGUUUAAGUGAUUCUCUUGCCUCAGUCUCCCGAGUACUUGGGAUUACAGGCAUGUGCCACCAUGCCUGGCUAAUUUUUUUGUAUUUUUAGUAGAGACAGGGUUUCGCUAUGUUGGCCAGGCUGGUCUCGAACUCCUGACCUCAGGUGAUCCGCCUGCCUUGGCCUCCCAAAGUGCUGGGAUUACGGGCAUGAGCCAUCGUGCCUGGCCUUCCCUUUGGCAUUCUAAUCUCUCCCAUGGUUUCCCAUCACUUUCUGGAUGAAUCCAGACUCCUCGGUGCAGUGUGUGUCCCACGCUGCUCCAUGUCAGUUUCAUCGGCUGCCACUGCCUCAGCGACUGGUGCCUCGUGCUCUAGCUACAUGGAGCUCCAAGCUGUCCAGAAGGUAACGUUCCUCAGUCCUGGGUUUCUGCACAUUUGCUUCCCUGUCUGGGGACAAGGAGGGAACUACCUUCCACACCUUGGCUGAUUUCUACUUUUCCUUUAAAAUUUGGCAGACGGGCUGGGCGUGGUGGCACGUGCCAGUAAUCCCAGCACUUUGGGAGGCCGAGGUGGGAGGAUUGCUUGAGCUCAGGAGUUUGAGACCAGCUUGGGCAACAUAGUGGAGACUCCAUCUCUACAAAAAAUUUUAAAAAUUAGCCGGGCAUGGUGGUGCGCGCCUGUGGUCCCAGCUACUCAGGAGGCUGAGGUGGGAGGAUCGCUUGAGCCCAGCAGGUAGAGCCUGCGGUGAGCUAUGAUUGUGCCGCAGCAUUCCAGCCUGGAAGACAGAGUGAGACUCUGUCUCCAAAAAAAAGACGGAAAAAGGCAGACACUCUAAACUUCCAGGUAGCUCUUUUUGCAUUAACCAAAAUGUUCUGACUAUAUCUCCAGUGAGGAUCUUGGGGAAACAGACUAUAUUUGAUUUUUUUUUCUUUUUAAGACUGGAACCUGGUACGUAGAAUGAAUCUCUAAGUCAAGGAUGAUGUUGACUUCUUUCCAUUGUUUUUAGAGACCACAACCUGCUUUCUUCUAGAGUACUUUUUGGUUUUCCAUGCAGGGCUCAGGAGCUAUACAGAUGGGAUAGAGGGUGUGAGUGCUGGGAAGCCCCAUCCAUGGCUCGCUGGAGAUUAGAGGCCUGUUAAUCUGAAGACAAAGGAAUGAAGACGAAAACGUUUCUGAAAAUGUGGGUGGAGACACCUGGGCCUUUACAGGGUACGCUCCAGAGCUGCUUCCAGGCAGGGACCCCGGCUGAGAGAAGCCAGAGCCAGAGAGUCGCAGGCUUGCUUGCUCUUAUCUUCCCUCUGCUGGGGGGGUCGAGGGGAGAUCUGGCCCCUCUGCUCUGCCCUCCUGAUUUCCCGUCUAAGGGAUUUAGGAGACUUUUGCCUUUUCCUAAUCUCUCCCUUUGCAGAAUUUCUGCGAAGUCACAAUCCCAUUUCCAGGCAAAGGUGCUUGGUCAUAAAGAUAAUAAAGAUAUUCAUUCAUGAUGGAGGGGAAGUACACAGUGGUUUCAGCUGCCUGUAGGGCUCCACUUACUCAUGGUGUGUGACAGAUGCUGAGCCCUUCCCCAAAUCUCAUGGAUGGGAAGGAAACCUGGCGCCGCGGGGUGGUCGCGGGAAGCCGUGGCAUGGCUUGGUGAACACAGGCUCGCCGACCCGGGGGCGGAUGCUGAGGUUGCCAUUGUUGGUGGCUGCAUCUGCAGUAGACGGGUCGGGAUGCCGGCCUCAGACCACAGCGUUGCUAAAUGCCAAACCCAAGGCCUCCCCGUCUUUAACACUGCUGGGCAUUCUACAGCGCAAGGAGGCAGCUGGGGCUGGACUGCCCAGUGCCUGCCGUUGACUGUGCGUCUUCUGCCUGUGAGCUAGCCUGCCACACCUGGGGAUACACGGUGGGGAAAUCAAUCAGCUUCCCUCCCUUCUAGAGCUUCAGGUCCGGCGUUGGUGUCUAGAGGCAAGGGGAGGAGGCAGGGAGGCCUCUUCUUUUCUGUCCCCCUUUCUCUUGGCCAAUUUGGAGGAGAUGGUGGGGGACCUGUCUCUCAUCUGACCUCCUGGAAGCCCUGCCUGCUGCUCCAGUGUGGCUCUCCCAGGGCUGAGGCCUGGAACCUAGGGCUGGGCUACCUGGGGUGCUCAGCUCUGCCGCACCCCAGCCCUCCUCGGCUGCAGCCCUGGCUUCUUUUCUUACCCACUGGGAUGGCCCGUGGGACUAACCUUGCAGCCUGCAGGACUAUGGCCCAGAUGACCUUUCCGGAGCAGGGGAAGAGUUCACAGGUCUCAGACCAGGUUGACCCCGAGCCCUCUCUUUCCUGCUUCGCAUAGGGGCGGGCCAAGGGAGGCAGGGACAAUGGCAUUCCUGUUUGCAGGCCUUUGUUCCCGCCAGGAGGGCCCCCGGAGCUAAUAAAAAGGUUUGUGGCUCCGAUGUCUAAGAGGCAGUGGAGGAGUUCUUUCAAGCCUGACAUUCCAGGCCCAGCCGGCCUCUGGCAUUUCCCAGAAAAACUUCGAGGAGGGGAGGGGAAAGAAAACACUUGAGGGACCCACCCACCUACCCACUGCCCGCCUUCUCGGAUUCCUCGUUCCCUCUGGGGAUUGGGCUGGGCCGGAGUGCCAGGACCCCUGCCCUGGGGGGCCCAUUCCUCCACCCACAGAGGGGCCCUGGGAAGUGUUGAGAGGGUGAGAGUGGAUCCUGAACCAACUUUGAAGGCAGAGAAGUGGGCUAGAAGAAGUGGGGUUGGAGCCUCCACCAAGGACAAGAAGGUGAGACUCUAAGGCGUCUAAGGUGAAACUGGGGCAGCUAUCCCCACGUGUUCCUUCCUCCCUCCCCCUUGCCGGCACUGUACUCACUGGGCCUUAGGCUGGUGUUGUUCAGAGUUUCUUAACCUGGAGCAUGUGAACUGCCCCUUCCCAGGUUUCAUACUCCCCCAACAGCCACUCCCCCGAUAAUUGCAAACAAAAUGCUGGUGGAGGGUCAGGCCCCUGGGGGCUGCAGGACCUGCCUGGAGUCACUUCUUGCCCCUGCAACACUUGUUUUUUGUUUGACACAGUAUCAAUCUGUUGCCCAGGCUGGAGUGCAGGGGCGCAAUCUCAGCUCACUGCAACCUUUGCCUCUGGGGUUCAAGCGAUUCUUCUGCCUCAGCCUGCUGAGUAGCUGGGAUUACAGGUGCACACCACCACGCCUGGUUAAUUUUUUGUAUUUUUAGGUAGAGACGGUGUUUGCCAUGUUGCCCAGACUUGUCUCGAACUCCUGAGCUCAGGCAAUCCACUGGCCUCGCUCUCCCAAAAUGCUGGGAUCACAGGCGUGAGCCAC